GACCAGACUCCUACGGGAGGCAGCAGUGGGGGAUAUUGCACAAUGGGGGGAACCCUGAUGCAGCGACGCCGCGUGGGUGAAGGAGUAUUUCGGUAUGUAAAGCCCUAUCGGCAGGGAAGAAGCAAGACGGUACCUGACUAAGAAGCCCCGGCUAACUACGUGCCAGCAGCCGCGGUAAUACGUAGGGGGCAAGCGUUAUCCGGAUUCACUGGGUGUAAAGGGAGCGUAGACGGCGACGCAAGUCUGGAGUGAAAGCCCGGGGCCCAACCCCGGGACUGCUCUGGAAACUGCGGCGCUGGAGUACGGGAGGGGCAGGCGGAAUUCCUGGUGUAGCGGUGAAAUGCGCAGAUAUUAGGAGGAACACCAGUGGCGAAGGCGGCUUACUGGACUGUAACUGACGUUGAGGCUCGAAAGCGUGGGGAGCAAACAGGAUUAGAUACCCCGGUA
rnacentral:rRNA from 1 species